AAUUGUGAAUGGACAAGUCAAUGCAAUGCUGACGUCACAGGAGGGAAUCCUUAGCUUGCACCAUGAGUGGAGACAACAAUGAAAAUCAACAGCAAAAUGCUUCAGACAGCUGUUUGUCUGCUUUUAUGAAGCGCAUUGUACUUCCUAUUGGAUUACUGUAUCAGUAAGUAACUGUGUGAAUUUGAAGCUCAUCAAUACCGAUGUUUGGAGAGACUACUUCAUGAUAUCUGAGGAAAGGGGAGAGGAUUUUCAUCAUGUUUACAAUCAAGUUGAAGAGCUUGACAGCAUCCCGAGCAGUGUAGCUACCGGUACUCUUCCCACCCAAGUGAGGGACAGUGUUUUCAAAACACUUAAUCUGGAUCCAUCUCAAGUGAAGAGUGUGUGCAAAAAUCCUGACAGGCCAAACAUAUUCAUCAACCAUGCGAAGCCUCUCAAGAAAGAUAAACAAAGCUUAUGAAAUUGAAGAACCUCGAUGGCUACUCAGUGGACUGCAUAAAUGAGCUACACAGGGAAGGAUGCAGCUAGGGCCAGGAAAGCAAGCAUUUAUUACAGGUUUGUAAUCCAAGUAGGGUUCACUACUGCACUGUCUGUGUCACCUGUGACAAGAUUUUACUCACACCUACAUGUGGAAUGAUUGUGAUAAAGGCAGCAACAAGAAGCUGUUUAAGCAAUUGCCAAAUGAAACAAAUAGGAUGAUUUUGGUUGUGAAUGCUAACGACAAACAAGUUCACAGAAAUGGCUAUGUGGAAUUCUCUAUGCUGAGUCCAUUAAAACAAAUCAACCUGGCUGGAUUUGUUGAUCAAAAGUGGACAAGGAUGGCAAGUGGAAAUUGUAUGAAAUCUUAAAAUGUAGAAACACGUACUGCCUCAUUUUGGGGACUGGAGAACUUUCAUUUCAGUGAUGUGUCGUUUAGAACUUUAGAUGUGUAUAUUUGUUUGAAUUGAUCUUCACUUAAAAACAAUAGAACUUGCAUUAUGUACAUAAAAAACAGGUUUCCUAAAUGACUGCUUUAUCCAUAAUAUAGAUGGGUCCCAAGCCCAUCCCUAGAUCAAGACUUGGAAUGCCAGUGUCAAAAUUACACAUGCAUGUAUUGAGUGAGAACCCUGUGCGAGAACCCCUGAAGAGUCAGGACUGUAAACUAACUUGUUAUAAACACCUGUUUGUCAUGUUUAUAGUGUACACCUUAAUACAUGCCAGCGGCCCGACCACAUUGUAGCCGAGUCCUUCACAAUUCAGCUUCUCAGCUGCCAGUAAAGAUAAUUAGUCUCCAAAAUGUUUCUAAUUUUAUGUAUAUUUUUUUGAUAAUGUUGUAUAAUCCUCGCAGCGGAUUUAGUUUAGCAUUCAUUAGAACGCAGGGUUUGAGAUCAAGAUACGUACAACAAACAGUUCUGCGAUGUCUCUCUGAUGAACUUUUAUUCGAUGAACCUAGAGUCUAACGGACUCUACAGACGAUUAAUGGACGGUCCUUGACGGAAUUUACAACCGGUCCAUGACAGACAGACCCCUGUACAUUAAGAAAUAAUGCAAACAUGGGUUUAAAAUACUACUACAGUCCUACAAUAGAUCACAACACACAGUUCAAAGGUCAUAGUACUGGUAACCAAACACUAAAACAGUACAUCAGCUGGUGCUCAAUAGAUGGAAUGUGACAGGUUACAUAACACUGUUUGGGCUAGACAGAGAUUUGUCCUUGUCCCCAA